GGAGCAUUUGGUGAGGUACCAUUUAUGUGAGGCAGUCCCAAAUGUUUGGCACAUUUAUGGGAAGCAUCCUGAUGAAGGAUUUACAGUGGUUUCUUCUAACUGGGAUCACUCCUAGGUCUAGUACUAAUAAAGAGAAGAAGAUCGGAGCAGCUUUGACAUGAAUGGAUCCAUCUGGCCUGGUCUCCAUACAAGUUUCCUAUGAGUUUGGUCACAGACCCUUCAAGCAAUUGUUUAAAUGAGAAGAUGCUACAUUUUCAAGCAGAGACUGAUUCACUGUAGCUUAAUAAAUUUUUACUGAGCCC
rnacentral:lncRNA from 1 species